GACCCCUUUUACUCUUUCCUCAAACCCUUCAGGCAACUCAACUCUCCUAGCUUCCUCAGUAAAGAUAUCUCCUCUAUCCGCGUCCCUCAACACCCAUAUAAACCUCUGUUUGCUCUGCUCUAAUCCCAUCGCGAGCUCCUUGAUUUCCCUAUCAGAAAAUGAAGUUGUUGUUCCAAAAGACACAUAAAGUACUGAUCUUGGAGGCUGUUUGUCAAGCCAAUCCAAACAUACAUCCUCCCUAUUCGAUAUACGAUCCAUUUUAGUAGGCAAAAGUGGUCCAAUUGCCCAAUUUUUCUUCUUCUGAUCACUUGCUACUUGUGCUAACAAAUCAAGAAACUUACCUUCAAUCACUUUGCUUGUAUUAUGUAUAUCACCUGAUCUAAUAUCUAAAUAUGGACUCUGAGAAGCUCCGCGAUCUCUGAUUUUAUCCGUCAUAAUUCCAUCAAGGGAAGGUAACUUUUUAAGCAAUUCCUCUUCAAGUUGAACAGACAUUCCAACGGACAAGCAUAUAAUACAGUAGAAAGUGAACACAGAAAUGCAAUUAAAUAUAUAGGAUUCCGCGUUGUGCAAGGAUGAAACGUCCUGAACGUUAUAGGACAUUAAAGAAUCAUGAACAACAACGACUCGUCUUGAUAUUGAGGAAAUAUCGCGUAAGAAGGAAGCAAUAGGCUCGCGAAGAAGCAUACAAGCAUCCCAUGAUGGCUCCAGAUGUGAUGGAAAUUUGCUCAAUGCAUUAGGAUCAGGUGCAGGAGAGGUAAAAUCAGGUGUUGGGAUAUCAUGGAAAUGAAUUUUGGCUAUGUCUGAAGGAUUUAACGCGUUGGCUCGAAC
rnacentral:misc_RNA from 1 species